UUGAUCCUGGCUCAGAAUGAACGCUGGCGUGAUGGCUAAGACAUGCAAGUCGAACGGACCAUAUAAUUGGGUAACCGAAAGUAUGGUUAGUGGCGAAAGGGUGAGGAAUAGAUAGGAACGUACCCUGUGCUCUGGGAUGGCGUCUGAAGCUUCGGCUUCUUCCGAAAGGGGCGGUAAUACCAGAUAAUGUCCUCCGGGACCAAAGAUUUAUCGGCAUUGGAGCGGCCUAUCUCCUAUCAGCUUGUUGGUGAGGUAACGGCUCACCAAGGCAACGACGGGUAGCGGGACUGAGAGGUUGGCCCGCCACAUCGGGACUGAGACACUGCCCGGACCUCCACGGAGGGCUGCAGUAACGGAUAUUGGGCAAUGGGCGAAAGCCUGACCCAGCAAUGCCGCGUGCAGGAUGAAGCCCCUAGGGGUGUAAACUGCUGUCAGGGGUCAGAAAGCUGGUUUCGGCCAGUUGAUCAACCCCAGAGGAAGUCACGGUUAACUUCGGUUGCCAGCAAGCCGGGGUAAAUACGAGGUUGGCAAGCGUUAUUCGG
rnacentral:rRNA from 1 species